GGGAGCCGGAUGAGCUGAGAGGUUCACGUCCGGUUCUGAGAGGGCCUAAGGGGGAGGUUCCCUUGGGCUACUUACUUCAAAGUAUUAACUCGUUCCUACUCAAU
rfam:Enterococcus avium ATCC 14025 genomic scaffold acpMO-supercont1.4, whole genome shotgun sequence.